AGAUGAAUUUAGGAAUUCUAUAAAACAACAACAGAAGCUCUAAAAAAUGCUAAGAAUGAUAAACUGUGGUUUAAGACAACUACGAAGGUUAGGAAAUUAAAUUGAGAAUGGAGAGGAAUAUGGAAACGUUCAAAAUAUUUUACACCAGUUACAUCAAUCAUAUCACACUGAUUACGGAGAUGACAACCUGAAAAAGGAUACAGUUAUUAGAGAUAUGAGAUUUGGAAAUUCAACUGUACACAGGACGUAAAAAAUAACAAAAAACUGAAAGUACUCUCUAUAACUGGGCCAGUUCUUGUCAAUUUGCCAUCCCAUAUCCAUUAAUCAUGGAAUUAUCAGAGAAUGAAGGGGCAAAAUGCCCUUAAAAGAAGGUCAUUUUGAAAAUUCACACUCAAUUUUUGAUGCCUUCAAGAAUGAUAAUAAAUUGAGGAGUUCCAUGUGAAUCAUUUGCUUAAAAUAUUUGGCCUUAAGGAAAUAUGCUGAAGAACUUGGAAUAAAUUCAUUUGACUUGCUGGAGGCCACAUCAUGCAAAAGUGAUGCAGAAAUUCUAAUAAUGAUGAGUUUAGUAAGUUCCUAUCAGAAUGACAUUAAAUUUGAAAAGGUUCUGAAAAUAAAACACAGCAACAUUAUGGAUGAUCCCCUAAGAGAAAAAAAGCAAAGAGCUUUUCAAAAUAGUCAAAGCAAGUGCUUACAAAAUUAAGCUUUAUACAACAAUAUAUAUUCCUUUUCUUUCUGAGUUAAACAUAAAUGUAACUGAUGUAGAGAGCCUGCCAAUGCAACACAUGUAACACUAUUCGUGGCCAAACUGAUCAAGUCAACCAAAUACAUCCUCUUAAGGAGGCUGUAGUUAGUAUAAUG
rnacentral:lncRNA from 1 species